AGUGAACGCUGGCGGUAGGCCUAACACAUGCAAGUCGAACGGCAGCACAGUAAGAGCUUGCUCUUACGGGUGGCGAGUGGCGGACGGGUGAGGAAUACAUCGGAAUCUACUUUUUCGUGGGGGAUAACGUAGGGAAACUUACGUUAAUACCGCAUACGACCUACGGGUGAAAGCAGGGGAUCUUCGGACCUUGCGCGAUUGAAUAAGCCGAUGUCGGAUUAGCUAGUUGGCGGGGUAAAGGCCCACCAAGGCGACGAUCCGUAGCUGGUCUGAGAGGAUGAUCAGCCACACUGGAACUGAGACACGGUCCAGACUCCUACGGGAGGCAGCAGUGGGGAAUAUUGGACAAUGGGCGCAAGCCUGAUCCAGCCAUACCGCGUGGGUGAAGAAGGCCUUCGGGUUGUAAAGCCCUUUUGUUGGGAAAGAAAAGCAGCAGGUUAAUACCCCGCUGUUCUGACGGUACCCAAAGAAUAAGCACCGGCUAACUUCGUG
rnacentral:rRNA from 1 species